ensembl:lncRNA
GUCACUUCACUCCGUCUGAUGGAAGCUGAAGUGAAGCACGGAGCUCCUUUUCUACACGGACCUGCUGAGGACAGAAGAGAGCUGCUCACUGAGGAAGUUCAUGUCUACGAGCUCACAGGUUGGUGUGAAGGUGUGAAGGUGUGGACUCUGCUAUGAAUCAGGCUGAGGACCCAGAGGACGGAGUCCCUCCCUCUGAAGCCCCUCUGUGUGGGGAACAUGACAGCCAGACCAAAGCUCAGAGGACCCAUCAGAGACCAGGACCUGGACCUGGACCCAGCUGUGUGUCCAUGAAGAGUAACCGGUCUAUGGAUCCUCCUCUAAACUUCAAAGAUGUUGGUCCCUCUGUUGAUGCAAGGGCCCUUCAGCAGUGUCCAGUGAUGGAGGGAGAGCUCCAUGGAGGACUUGGCGAGACCUGUUGGGACUAAACCAAACUGACUGGUGAAGAAAACAGUGAGCUGAAAGACUGAGCUGUUGAUUGUCAGUGGGGACCAGCAGGACCAGUAGACCUAAACCACUACAGGGAGUCAUGUGGUCCACAUCCAGACCUCACGUCAUGGACCUUUACCUUGUUUUGGUCUCUUUGAGGACGGACACCAUGUGAGCUGAUGCUUCAUGAUUAGAUGAUG